AGCCCUGAGGUGUAAACAUACUAGAUUGCAAAUCUGGAGAAGCAGGCUAACACCCUGCCGGGGCUU
rnacentral:tRNA from 4 species